rnacentral:tRNA from 1 species
GGUGAGGUGUCCGAGUGGCUGAAGGAGCACGCCUGGAAAGUGUGUAUACGGCAACGUAUCGGGGGUUCGAACAAUUUGGUGAGGUGUCCGAGUGGCUGAAGGAGCACGCACGGAAAGUGUGUAUACGGCAACGUAUCGGGGUUCGAAUCCCCCUCACCGCCA